rnacentral:rRNA from 1 species
GAUGAACGCUGGCGGCGUGCCUAAUACAUGCAAGUCGAGCGAACAGACGAGGAGCUUGCUCCUCUGACGUUAGCGGCGGACGGGUGAGUAACACGUGGAUAACCUACCUAUAAGACUGGGAUAACUUCGGGAAACCGGAGCUAAUACCGGAUAAUAUAUUGAACCGCAUGGUUCAAUAGUGAAAGACGGUUUUGCUGUCACUUAUAGAUGGAUCCGCGCCGCAUUAGCUAGUUGGUAAGGUAACGGCUUACCAAGGCAACGAUGCGUAGCCGACCUGAGAGGGUGAUCGGCCACACUGGAACUGAGACACGGUCCAGACUCCUACGGGAGGCAGCAGUAGGGAAUAUUCCGCAAUGGGCGAAAGCUUGACGGAGCAACGCCGCGUGAGUGAUGAAGGUCUUCGGAUCGUAAAGCUCUGUUAUUAGGGAAGAACAAAUGUGUAAGUAACUAUGCACGUCUUGACGGUACCUAAACAGAAAGCCACGGCUAACUACGUG